rnacentral:rRNA from 1 species
UACGUAGGGUGCAAGCGUUAAUCGGAAUUACUGGGCGUAAAGCGUGCGCAGGCGGUUUUGUAAGUCUGAUGUGAAAUCCCCGGGCUCAACCUGGGAAUUGCAUUGGAGACUGCAAGGCUUGAAUCUGGCAGAGGGGGGUAGAAUUCCACGUGUAGCAGUGAAAUGCGUAGAGAUGUGGAGGAACACCGAUGGCGAAGGCAGCCCCCUGGGUCAAGAUUGACGCUCAUGCACGAAAGCGUGGGGAGCAAACGGG